rnacentral:lncRNA from 1 species
GGCCUCUUUUCCAGGAUUCCAGGACAGGGUUCUUUAUAAUAGGUUACCCCAGUAUGAUCUGGAAUUUUAAAAAGAAGCAAAAGCAGUUGAAGACCACCCACUUGCUAUAAUUUGAAAGGCUUGUUCUCCCCUCCCUUCAUCUCUUUGAAUCCUGCUACACAGACAUUGUUGUCUUUGGGACCAAUACAUUUCUUCUAUCUGCAUAUCUGGGUAGAAGCUCUCAUGGAAGAAAAAAGAAAAGCCCCAUAGGUGAAGGGGAGUGUGCCUGCCAAGUUCCUUGUAAUAACUUCACAUGCAGAGUAUUUUCUGAAAUGGAUCUGCUGGAGUCAUCUCAUGGAAUCUUCUCAUUCUUCUGGAGUCUCCUCAUUUUACAGGAAAAACAUCCAGGCAAGUGGACAGCAUUUGCAUCAGCCCAGCAAUAAGAAGGACCAUAUUCUACUUGGGAAAAGGUAAAGUCAUUUCAUAUGGAUGGAGCCUGCCAGGAAACCUGUCAUUCAACCCUUCGCAAUAAAACAGCUCCUCAUGAAUGAAGCAAAAUAAAUCAGAAGUUGUGGGCUUUUAAACUCACUAAAUGAAAGCCCAGCAUGCAUGCAGCCUCCCUCCAAAUUAAUCACCAGAUUAAAUGCAAGAUGUGCACACCAAAUCAAUAGCUUGUGACACAGACCUCCUGCCUGUGCUUCAGGAAAAUUCCAUUUCCUUUCAGAUGUUGUCGCUUGAAAUGUCAGGAAGUUUCCAUUCAUCACCCGCCCUUGAAAAUGCCACCAUCACCAUACUUCAUGUUUCCUUGCUUUCUUUCUUCAGAGGAAUCCAAGCACCUUGCAGAGGGAGCCCACUCCUUGUCACAG